rnacentral:rRNA from 1 species
UUCAAGUGAAGAGUUUGAUCCUGGCUCAGAUUGAACGCUGGCGGCGUGCCUAACACAUGCAAGUCGAGCGGUAACAGGUGUAGCAAUACAUGCUGACGAGCGGCGAACGGGUGAGUAAUGCUUCGGAAUCUGCCCAAUGGUGGGGAAUAACCAGCCGAAAGGUUGGCUAAUACCGCAUAAGUCCUACGGGAGAAAGCAGGGGAUCGCAAGACCUUGCGCCGAUGGAUGAGCCGAAGCCGGAUUAGCUAGUUGGUAGGGUAACGGCCUACCAAGGCGACGAU